UAGGGAUUCCAAUCCCGGGAUCCCGGGAUCCCGGGAUCCCGGGAUCCCGGGAUCCCGGGAUUGGGGCCAAAA
rnacentral:pre_miRNA from 1 species